GAAGAAUGUUGAGCAUGUGUUGGCUGCCUGCAGGAUUAAUUCUACAGCAGCCAUGUGUUGUCUUCUUCACGAAAAAGAUCCUAUUUGAACAGUAUACACAAUCAAAUGCUUUACAGUGGGCAUGGAUGAAGACGCCAUCAACGAGGCCAUUGAAGAAACCACUGUUGGGAUUUAUGUUCUUAAAGAACAUGCUUCAAGUAAUGAACCAAAGGACAUUGGUAUUGUCCUUGAAGGCAUCAAGAUGUUGCAAGAUCUUUAUAAUGUAGCAUUACCUGUUGCUACGCUGUUUGGACUAAUGUACAGUAUGCCCUGAACUUCAGCUACCCUGCUCGCCUUCGAUCCAAAAGAUUUGCAUGGAACUUGAUGGAGGGAAACUUACCAACAAAGCACUUGCUCUAAAAAACAGGCUCUUCCAGUGAAAGGGCCAGAGAGACUGCGCCGUCAACCAAACAGCGUAGUUGUCCCUAAAGGCAUCGUUGGUAUGGCUGUACUCUUUGGACUAGUUUUUUUUGUUUGAAUUACGGGAACAGGAUUUGCAUGGAGCUGCAUGGAAAUAACCUUUGGCAAACCAAGCAAAAGUUUUCUUUCUAGAAAACAGACUCCUUCAUUAAAGGCCAACAGGCAUCUUUGGUACUGCUAGGUGAAUUUUUU